rnacentral:tRNA from 4 species
GCGAAAGUGGCGGAAUUGGUAGACGCACCAGAUUUAGGUUCUGGCGCCGAGAGGUGUGGGGGUUCGAGUCCCCCCUUUCGCACCA